CUGAGAGAUAGUUUGCCACUGACUGUCCCAGGCAAGGCUCAUGGCUGCCUUCUGUACUCUACGCUGACAGCAAGCACAGAGGAAUCCCGAGCUUUCAGCCCGUGCGCGGAUAUAGAGGCCAGACUCCAUCUCCCAUAAGGCACUGGGCCUUCUGCGCCCGAACCCAAUUAGAGGCCAUUUCACAUGGCGCCCACUCAGAGUUGUCAGGGCCCAAGAACAGGCUCCAGAUGUUGGCUGGAAAAAGGUGAGGACCAGCUGCCCGAGCUCUAAGGCCUGGGCGCUCUUUGGCGAGCCGCCCCGCCCCGCCUCAGGCACCAUCAGAGAGAGAUCAGUGAAACAUCUAUGGGGAGCUGGAAGAUAAUUGAUGCAUCUUGGAGCCUCAUCACAGGAAGAAGCAUCUAUUAAUAUUUUCAGGGGUCCAUGGAUAUGAACAAGUCAAGCACCCAUGAAAAGUAGAGAGGAUUGGAAAAUUUGGGGAAUCAAAAGAUACGAAAGAAGAAUGGAGAACACCUUGAAUGAAUUCAAUAUAUGGUAGCACCACAGUACUGGCAACAUCAAGGCUACUGAAAAAAAAAAUGAGGGCAACAAAAGAGACCAGAAAAUCUCUCUGCUGAUUAAUACAUAAAGGAUCAUAUGUUGACAAAAGAA